GGCCCAACUUUUAGAGGAGCCCAUUAAGCUUUUUAUUAGGGUUUCACGGCUUUCACCUAACCGUCAUUCACUCCCUCUUUCUCUCCUCUCCUCUCCUCCCCGUCAUUCACCUCGUUCUGUAAUUUCAAACUCAGUCCUUCUCUCCUCUCCUCCAUCAAUCUUAGAGAAAAAAUGGUUACCUUCUAUCGAAUUUUAAUUGCGAGUUGUCUCCAAUUUCACAGCCUCUAUUUUCCAACUACUUUGUUUUCAUUGUCAUUGUCAAUGUUGCCGUUGUUGACUACUCUUCCGGUGAAGUCCGAUGACAUGCUUUCUGAAUGGGAGAGAGUUUAACUUUCGAUUGAUCCUGGUGUUGUUCUACUUGAUAUCGCCUUUGUUCUUGAUGAUCCUAACCACGUUUCCUCCUCCAUUGCUGCAUUUGGGGCCUCCACUCACCUUCUGCUCGCCGCCGGUGAGUCGCCAUGGUCCACGUCGUCUACCCAACUGGAGAACUGUGGUGAAAAUAUGGAGGAGUUUCUGAACAGACGUUUCUACCAAUCUAGUCAGUAUGAUUCUACAGAAACCUUUGUGGAGCUAGACAAAAAUCUCAGGCAACAUGAGGUUGGGGGGAUUGCUAAUCGACUCUUCUAUUUGUCAAUUCCACCAAACAUCUUCAUAGAUGCGGUGAGAUGUGCAAGUAUAUCUACAUCCUCUGCAAAUAGGUGGACCCGGGUCAUUGUAGAGAAACCUUUUAUUCGAGACUCAGAGUCCUCUGGCGCUUUGACUAGUGGACUAAGCAGUACUUGAAUGAAGAUAAGAUUUUCAGGAUAAAUCAUUAUCUUGGGAAGGAACUUGUUGAAAACUUAUCCGUUGUAGAUUUGUGGCAGUUGUGCACUUGUGCUUAUCUCACAUCACUGCUCGUUAGCUUCUACGUACCUAGAACAACUUCCUAUCAAAUAACAGCCUAUUCUAGUGAGUUGUAAACUCUUAACUCUUGCGAAAACUAAGGUAAACACCAAAGCUCCCAACCGUGGUAGAAUCCAUUGUUGCAUCAGUUGUCCAGUGGAUUGGCUCUAUAUUGAUUCAAGAGGCCAAUAUAUUAUUCGAUGUUGCAGAUCAAGUACGGGGCCUUCAGCAAGAGCUUGAACUAAUGCAGCAUGUCUGAAGAGAGCUGGAUCAUGAGAUUCGCUUGCUUCAUGCAUAGUGCCCCAAAGAUGUAUGAAGUUGAGAAGCAUAUAUAUAAUAUACGAGAAGAAGUUGAUAAAAUCAUUGAAAAGUUAAAUAGCUUUGGACUAAGAAGAAUCAAUGAAGUAGAAGGUUUUUAGUUUUAGUUGUUAGGCGAUAAUAAAUGUAUUUUUUUGCUGAUUGUAUAAAUAUGAAGUACUAUAUUUAUCUCAAUUAGUUAAUCGAUAAUUGUGCUAUAA